CGGUCCUCGUACGAUCACCGAAGUUAAGCAACAUCGAUCCUAGCCAGUACCUAGAUGGAUGACUGCAUGGGAAUACCAGGUGCUGUAAG